rnacentral:rRNA from 1 species
UGGGGAAUAUUGCGCAAUGGGCGAAAGCCUGACGCAGCAACGCCGCGUGGGGGAUGAAGGCCUUCGGGUUGUAAACCCCUUUCAGCAGGGACGAAGCGAAAGUGACGGUACCUGCAGAAGAAGCGCCGGCUAACUACGUGCCAGCAGCCGCGGUAAUACGUAGGGCGCAAGCGUUGUCCGGAAUUAUUGGGCGUAAAGAGCUCGUAGGUGGUUUGUCGCGUCUGCUGUGAAAACCUAGGGCUUAACCCUGGGCCUGCAGUGGAUACGGGCAGACUAGAGGUAGGUAGGGGAGAAUGGAAUUCCCGGUGUAGCGGUGAAAUGCGCAGAUAUCGGGAGGAACACCGGUGGCGAAGGCGGUUCUCUGGGCCUUACCUGACACUGAGGAGCGAAAGCGUGGGGAGCGAAC